rnacentral:rRNA from 1 species
CCUACGGGGUGCAGCAGUGAGGAAUAUUGGUCAAUGGGCGAGAGCCUGAACCAGCCAAGUCGCGUGAGGGAAGACGGUCCUACGGAUUGUAAACCUCUUUUGUCAGGGAGCAAGGAGCGCCACGAGUGGUGCGGCGAGAGUACCUGAAGAAAAAGCACCGGCUAACUCCGUGCCAGCAGCCGCGGUAAUACGGGGGGUGCAAGCGUUGUCCGGAAUCAUUGGGCGUAAAGAGUUCGUAGGCGGCACGUAAAGUCUGGUGUUAAAGGCAGAGGCUCAACUUCUGUACGGCACUGGAUACUUGCGAGCUAGAAUGCGGUAGAGGUAAAGGGAAUUCCUGGUGUAGCGGUGAAAUGCUUAGAUAUCAGGAGGAACAUCGGUGGCGUAAGCGCUUUACUGGGCCGUAAUUGACGCUGAGGAACGAAAGCCAGGGUAGCAAAUGGGAUUAGAUACCCCUGUAGUC